rnacentral:lncRNA from 1 species
CUUUAAGAUCCCUUCUCACCCAAACCAUUCUGUGCCUGGGGUAUGGCCCUGUCCUACAACCUGGCUGACAAGGAGAAAACUCAGUGUGUGAGAGCUGUGAGAGCUGCCUGGGAGCUGGAACUGCACAAACCACAUAAACCUGCCUCAGCUGGGACUCACAGCACGGAGCAGCUCCCUCCUGGAGAGGGCUGGGGGGUUAUGCAGGUGAGCACAGCUCGCUGUUGGCACACGAGGGUGUUUGUCUUUAUGCAAGCCCUGGGCUCGGCUGGGUUGUGUAAGCACCGGGACGGCUGGAGGGGAGCCGCGGGAGCCAGCCCUGCCGGGAUGGAGAGAGGAGCCAGCCCUGCCGGGAUGGGGAGAGGAGCCAGCCCUGCCGGGAUGGAGAGAGGAGCCAGCCCUGCCGGGAUGGAGAGAGGAGCCAGCCCUGCCGGGAUGGAGAUGAGAGCCAGCCCUGCCGGGAUGGAGAGAGGAGUCAGCCCUGCCGGGAUGGAGAGAGGAGCCAGCCCUGCCGGGAUGGGGAUGAGCCAAACCUGCCGGGAUGGAGAGAGGAACCAGCUGUGCCGGGAUGGGGGUGAAGCAGCCGUCCCGGGAUGGAGGUGGCUGGGUCUGCGUGUGCUUCCCUGCCCACUCCAAGGUGUGAGCGCUCCCGUCCUUCCCCCGAGGCCUUUCCUGGCAGAGCCCUGGUGCUGCUCCGUGCCGGGAGGAGCAGCAGGAGCACAGGGAGAGCUGCCUGUGCACAGACCCAGGAGGUCUGGAUUCUGUCCUGGCUGUGCUGAGCCCCACACAGAGGGAGCAUUUCAUGGAGGCAGAGGCGGCCAUGGUGGUGCCGGGUAUAAAAAUAGCAUUUGUGCAUGGAAUAUCUGUCUUCCAUGGAUGGCAGGGCACAGAGGGAGUGGGCAUCAGACCUGUCUGCAGGUAGUGUGUGCAGACAAAGAGUUAUCAACGAGCAGAUAACAUGUAUCCCCAUGCAGAUAGCAUGUAUCCCCAUGCAGAUAGCAUGUAUUCCUGUGCAGAUAACAUGUAUUCCCAUGCAGAUAACAUGUAUUCCCAUGCAGGUAGCAUGUAUCUUCAUGCUGAUAACACAUUAUCACAUGCAGAUAACGUGUAUCCAUGCCCAGACAAUGUCUAUCCCCACGCAGGUAAGAUCUAUUCCAUGCAGAUAGCGUGUAUCCUCAUGCUGAUAACGUGUUAUCACAUGCAGGUAAUGUGUAUCCAUGUGCAAAUAGCAUAAAAACUCCACGUAUCCCCAUCCCCUUGCACACACAAGGGGCUGCAGAUGUGCCCUGGGAGCGUGUAGGUGACACUCCGUUA